CAAAUGUAACAUCCAUUGUUAUGAAACUCGGAGAUGACGUCACUCUGCUUUGUCUGAAUGCGAUGGAUGACCAGAAUACCUGUAACAAUACAAUGUGGGCCUUUGCUUCAAGAAACAAACCAACAGCAGAGCUGUUCAGGUUUGGGGAAAUUGCAAUACAAGUUGGGGAAAAAACAAGCGCAACACUCUCUACUUCAUCAGUUGGUGGUUGAUCUCUCUCUUAUUACUUUGAAUGAACAUAAAGACAAUAGUAAGGCAAUUUUAAACUGCUCUGUGCUGCCAUAUGAAGAGUGUCAUCACACAGUGAAGUGGCUGAUUGACGGUCAAGAUGUGGACAAAGAUAACAAAGAAGUAUUGACCAUGCAGACUGACUGCUCCACCACUGUGUCUUUUCCAAAAUCCCAUGAAUUAUACUCAUUAAAAUAUAACUCAGUGAAAUGUGAAGUGACUGAUACUGGCACAGGAGAAGUGCAGCAG